rnacentral:rRNA from 1 species
ACGGGAGGCAGCAGUGGGGGAUAUUGCACAAUGGGGGAAACCCUGAUGCAGCGACGCCGCGUGAGCGAAGAAGUAUUUCGGUAUGUAAAGCUCUAUCAGCAGGGAAGAAAAUGACGGUACCUGACUAAGAAGCCCCGGCUAACUACGUGCCAGCAGCCGCGGUAGUACGUAGGGGGCAAGCGUUAUCCGGAUUUACUGGGUGUAAAGGGAGCGCAGACGGCGAGGCAAGUCUGAUGUGAAAGCUCGGGGCUCAACCCCGGAACUGCAUUGGAAACUGUUUUGCUAGAGUGUCGGAGAGGUAAGCGGAAUUCCUAGUGUAGCGGUGAAAUGCGUAGAUAUUAGGAGGAACACCAGUGGCGAAGGCGGCUUACUGGACGAUAACUGACGUUCAUGCUCGAAAGCGUGGGGAGCAAACAGGAUUAGAUACCCUGGUA